UCUGGUGGCCUAGUGGUGAAAGCGUCCGCCUCGAAUGCGGGAGGUUGUUGGUUUCGAUCCCCGGUCGAGUCAU